AACGAACGCUGGCGGCGUGCCUAACACAUGCAAGUCGAGCGCGAAAGGAGCAAUCCGAGUAGAGCGGCGCACGGGUGCGUAACACGUGGGUAAUCUGCCUCAGGGUUGAGGAUAACCUUCCGAAAGGUUGGCUAAUACUCGGUAAGCUUACGGUGACUUCGGUCGCUGUGAGAAAACUAGACCUCUAUUUAUAAGUUUAGGCCCAGAGAUGAGCCCGCGGCCCCUCAGCUAGUUGGCGGGGUAACGGCCCACCAAGGCAACGACGGGUAGCUGGUCUGCGAGGACGAUCAGCCACACUGGAACUGCGACACGGUCCAGACUCCUACGGGAGGCAGCAGUGGGGAAUUUUCCACAAUGGGCGAAAGCCUGAUGGAGCAACGCCGCGUGUGUGAUGAAGGUCUUCGGAUCGUAAAGCACUUUCGACCGGGACGAAAAACCUUUGGCUAACAUCCAGGGGCCUGACGGUACCGGGAGAAGAAGCACCGGCUAACUCUGUGCCAGCCGCCGCGGUAAAAC
rnacentral:rRNA from 1 species